AUUGAACGCUGGCGGCAUGCCUUACACAUGCAAGUCGAACGGCAGCACGGGCUUCGGUCUGGUGGCGAGUGGCGAACGGGUGAGUAAUGUAUCGGAACGUACCUCUCAGUGGGGGAUAACGUAGCGAAAGUUACGCUAAUACCGCAUAUUCUGUGAGCAGGAAAGCAGGGGAUCGCAAGACCUUGCGCUGAUUGAGCGGCCGAUAUCAGAUUAGCUAGUUGGUGGGGUAAAGGCCUACCAAGGCGACGAUCUGUAGCGGGUCUGAGAGGAUGAUCCGCCACACUGGAACUGAGACACGGUCCAGACUCCUACGGGAGGCAGCAGUGGGGAAUUUUGGACAAUGGGGGCAACCCUGAUCCAGCCAUGCCGCGUGAGUGAAGAAGGCCUUCGGGUUGUAAAGCUCUUUCGGCCGGGAAGAAAUCGCAUGGGCUAAUACCCUGUGUGGAUGACGGUACCGGAAUAAGAAGCACCGGCUAACUACGUGCCAGCCGCCGCCGUAAAAC
rnacentral:rRNA from 1 species